rnacentral:lncRNA from 1 species
AGAUAUUGGAGAGUUUUUUUUUAUUGACCCGUCUGGUUCGCCAUGACUGGUCUCGUGGGCCUUCAAGACCCCUUUAAUUUAUGAAGUUUUUUUUGGGUUAUAUUUAGCAGAUUUAGAUUUCCCCUUUUCCUUCUUUUUUUAAAAAAAAAUCCAAGUUUUGUUUGAUUUUAGAUGAAGUUUUUAUUUAACAAUUAAAUCCUUGUUAUCAUUAUUAUUAAUAACUCAUAUUUAAUU